GAGAGAGACAGAAAGAAAGAGAGAGAUUCUCAUUGCUGUGGUAUUUGGGAAAUGCUUUCACAACCUUCAGAGUAUUGCAACAUCAGCCAGUCGAGGAGAGAAAUCAAGGUCUUUGCUGGGGAAAAAGAGAGAGCAGGAGAAAAAGAGAGAUAGAGAAGUCAAAUAUUCAGGAUUUAUGGUUCCAAAGCAGUCAUAGGACAGAACCCCAGACUUCCCUCCCCCCAGACAUUUCCUCCAGCUCCUCCGGGGGGAUCCCGAGGCGUUCCCAGGCCAGCCGAGAGACAUAGUCCCUCCAGUCUGUCCUGGGUCUUCCCCGAGGCCUCCUCUCGGUGGGACAUGCCUGGAACACCUCCCUAGGUUGGUGUCCAGUAGGCAUCUGAAACAGAUGCCCGAGCCAUCUCAGUUGACUUCUUUCGAUGUGGAGGAGCAGCGGCUCUACUCUGAACUCCUCCCGGGUGACAGAGCUCCUCUAUAAGGGUGCGCCCUGCCACCCUGCGAAGCAAACUCAUUUCAGCCCCUUGUAUCCAAGAUCUUGUCCUUUCGGUCAUGACCCAAAGCUCAUGACCAUAUGUGAGAGUAGGAAUGUAGAUUAACCGGUAAAUUGAGAGCUUUGCCUUUCGGCUUAGCUCCUUCUUUACCACAACGGACUGAUACAUUGACUUCAUUACUGCUGCCACUGCACCAAUCUGCCUGUCAAUCUCACGUUCCAUCCUCCCCUCACUCGUGAACAAAAUUCCAAGAUACUUAAACUCCUCCACCUGGGGUAAGGACUUUCCUCCAUUCUGGCAAAUCACCUUUUUCCAGUGGAGCACCAUGGCCUCGGACUUGGAAGUGCUGAUUGUCAUCCCAGCCAUGUCACACUCGGCAGCAGACCGCCCCAGUGCAUGCUGAAGGUCCAUGUUCAAUGAAGCCAACAGAACAACAUCGUCUGCAAAUAACAGUGAUGAAAUACUGUGGUCCCCGAACCAGACCCCCUCCAGCCCUAGGCUGCACUUUGAAAUUCUGUCUAUAAAAAUUAUGAACAGAAUUGGUGACAAGGGGUAGCCCUGCCAGAGUCCAACAUGCACUGGAAACAAGUCUGACUUAUUGCUGGCAAAGCGAACCAGACUCCUACUCUGUUCAUACAGGGACGAGACGGCUCUUAACAGAAUGCCUCUGACCCCAUACUCCCAGAGCUCCCUCCACAGAAUGCUACGAGGGGGAUGGUCUAAUGCCUUCUCAAAGUCCACAAAACACAUGUGGACUGGAUAGGCAUGCUCCAAUAAACUCUCGCACACACUGGUGUGGGUAUAGAGUGGUCCAGUGUACCUCGGCCUUGGCGAAAACCACAUUGUUCCUCCUGGAUCGUAGGUUCAACCAUCGGCCGGAUCCUCCUCUCUAGUACCCUGGCAUAGACUUUCCCAGGGAGGCUGAAGCGCAUACUGUCCAUGCUUUUUGUGCCAUUUCAAUCAUUUAAAAUAAUAAUAAUAAUAAAUACAUAACCUUGAAAUGUGUCCCAUACACCAAGACAGAACUAAUUCAAAUUUGGGGUUAAUAAGAUAUUUUUUUUAUGUUUUGAAAAGCAACCAUAGAUCAAAUGUGCAUUUAUUUGAUUAAAAUAAAACACAGUAAAGAUGCUUAUUCUGUGAAAUAAUAUAAUAGAUUAAAUAAAAUGUUUUAAAAUUUAUUCUAGUGAAAACAAAGCACAUUUUUUGUAUCAUUACCUUAGUAUAUAGUGUUACACUAUGCUUCAGAAAUCGUUUUAAUUUUUGGAUUUGUAGGCGUAUGACUGUAUCAAAUUUGCAUGAGAAGAUAAUUGCUAAAUCUGUUAACAUAUAAUAUACAGGAGUAUCACAGUAUUUUUUUAAACUGUAUAUUUAAUAUUUUUAACUGUAGGCUGCAUUGUGAAAUAAUUUGCGCGUUCUUAAACAGAGUUGAUUUGCCAUAGUAUUCGCCAGUGCUCAACAGAAAUGACUGUGAUUGGCCGUGAAGGUCAUCAGUUCACCGCUCUUCACCAAGUGAAAACACAGACACGAACAUUGGAGCGUUUUAAAGCUGCGAAGAUCAGUCAAAUCAUCAGCAGAUCUCUCGUCUAUGUUUGCACUCGGUAAACAUUGGUGAAGUGCAGUGAACUGAUGACCUUCAUGGUUAAUCACGAUCAUUUCUGUUGAGCACUGGUGAAUAUUAUGGCAAAUCAGCGCUGUUUAAGAAUGCGCUCAAGAGCGCUUAAAUGUUAGUGGGAAAUUUCAGUAACGAUUGGUGCCGAAAUUCAGUAUCAUGACAAGUCUAAUAAAGUGAAAGAAUCAGCUCAAUAACUUGAGUUUGAUAAAUGGCAUCUAAAACAUGUGUUUAUGUAAGAAAGCGUUAGCUAACUAGUGCCAUUUGCCUUAACUUAGCUGAAAAUGAGGUAUGAUAUCCCUUUUUAUUUUCACUUUUAAUUCAGAAUGGGCCUUCGGGUCACUCGGAAGGUGGUGAAAUGAUAAAUUUGUGUUAUUUUCUCUUCGCUGAUAAGAUAUACAGUACAUCCAGAUACCCAACAUUCCUGUGUGACUUCAUGCAAUGAUUCCGGGUUUCUUCCAACCACAGCCUCGAUUUCGCUUUUGAUAUGGCGACCGCUUGAAAUCAGUCUAUUGGUAAAUUUAGAACGACCCUUAUGCUAAAGGACUAAUUGUGCAUUUAUUUGCCUGUUAUAUACAUACCCUUUACUUGCUACAGUGCAUAAAUUAGUGCUGAAGAGAUAUAAACACAGUUAAGUUCAAAUAACUACUACUAAUAAUAACAAUCAUAAAAAAAUCUUAAUCCUACCUGUAACUUUAAUAAAUUAAAUAUAUUUUAGAGUAUCAAAAUCAAAAGCUUUUAUAUUAGUAACACUUUAAUUAGUAACAUGCGAGUACUGUCUCUUUACGAUGAAUCGAUUGAUCCUGUCCGCAUUGGAUAAAAGCAUCUGCUAAAUAACUUAAAGUGAAAUACAUUUUGCAUCUGACCUUAUUGCAUAUGAAUUUGUAGGAGUUUCCCUUUCAGAUGCAAAAUAUCUGGCCUGAGAGUAGUAUUUCCAGUAUUCAGCUCACUACUUUUUGUGCCAUUAUCUAAUUCCCCCCAAAUAACUUAAUAAUAGCUUCAUCCAAUUUGUGUCUCUGUUGUUAUUACAUUCACCUUAUUAUAAUCAACUCUGCUUGUUUGCACUGAUUCAUGCACUGCACUGGUCAUUAAGAGAAUGAGCUGAUGACUCUUUGUUCUUUAAUUCACACAUUGUUCAUAAAAUCACUCAAAAACAAUUUAAAGUGAGAAAUAGAUUACACUACACUAAAGCCAAAGUUAAUAAGCUGUAUCCUUCUAUCUCUCCUUUGUGUGAUAGAUGCAAAGGCGCAGUCGGGACCUACGGUCAUAUAUUCUGGCCCUAUUCAGAAGUAUCUGAAUUUUGGAAAAGUAUUGGUCACGCUUUAUUUUGAUGGUCUGUUUGCUGAAUUUAAGUUACACUGCAUCUACAUGCCAACUAAUUGUCAUUAGAUUAUAAGUAGACUGUCAGGUUGGGGUUGGGAUUAGGAUUAGUGUAAAUUGACAUGUACUUGCAAAGAUUCGUAUUGUCAGUCUGUUUAGCAGCUGUAUUAACAGAUAUUAGGCAGACAGUCUACUAAUUCCCAAAUGGACCAUCAAAAUAAAGUAUUACCAAAGUAUCUUCGGACUUUAUUCUCCGGCUUUUGAAAUGGACAUUAAGAUUGAUGCGGAUUAGCGUUUUUUGGAUGUUCAGACCAGGCUCUAACUUGGUCUAAACAUCAACAACUCUCCCUUAUGUUUGGCAUGGUGCUGGCCAAGAGUGAUUCUGAUGGAGUGGAAAUCCAUGAACCUCCAAGUAUUUUAAAUGGUUGGCUGAAAUGAUUUCUACCCUCAAGCUGGAGGAAACUUUACUCCAGAUUCAGCAAACAGAAGAUGUAUGAUAAAAUAUGGGGCCCCUUUCUUAGAAGUACAGUGCAUCUGGAAAGUAUUCAUAGCGCUUCACUUUUCCCACAAUUUUUUGUUUCAGCCUUAUUCCAAAAUGUAUUAAAUUAAUUUAUUUCCUCAAAAUUCUACACACAAUACCCCAUAAAGACAAUGUGAAAAAAGAUUUUUUUAAUUGUUGCAAAUUUAUCAAAAAUAAAAAGGCUAAAAAAUCACAUGUACAUACUGUAAGUAUUCACAGCCUUUGUCGUGAAGCUCUAAAUCGAGCUCAGGUACAUUCUGUUUCCACUGAUCUUUCUUGAGAGGUUUCCGCAGCAUAAUUGGAGUUCACCUGUGGUAAAUUCAGUUGAUUGGACAUGGUUUGAAAAGGCAUACACCUGUCUCUAUAAGGUGCCAGGGUUGACAGUGCAUGUCAAAGCACAAACCAAGCAUAAAGACAAAGGAAUUGUCUGUAGACCUCCGAAACAGGAUUGUCUUGAGGCACAAGGCCGGGGAAGGUUACAGAAAAAUGUCUGUUGCCCUGAAAGUUCCAAUGAGCACAGUGGCCUCCAUCAUCCGUAAGUGGAAGAUGUUUGGAACUACCAGGACUCAUCCAAGAGCUGACUGGACAUAUAAGCUAAGUGAUUGUGAAAGAAGGGCCCUAUUCAGGGAGAUGAUCAGUAACCCGAUGGUCACUCUAUCUGAGCUCCAGCGUUCUUCUGUGGAGAGAAGAGAACCUUACAAAAGGACAACCAUCUGUGCAGCAAUCCACCAAUCAGGCCUUUAUGAUAGAGUGGCCAUACGGAAGCCACUCGCCACCUGGAAUUUGCCAAAAGGUAUCUGACAGACUCUCAGACCAUAAGAAACAAAAUUCUCUGGUCUGAUGAGAUUAAAAUUGAACUCUUUGGAGUGAAUGCCAGGCGUUAGGUUUAGAGAAAACCAAGCCCCGCUCAUCACCAGGCUAAUACCAUCCCAGUGAAGCAUGGGGGUGGCAGCAUCAUGCUGUGGGGAUGUUUUUCAGCAGGAGGAACUGAAAGACUAGUCAGCAUAGAGGGAAAGAAGAAUGCAGCAAGGUACAUAGACAUCCUGAAUGAAAACCUGCUUCAGAGUGCUCUUGACCUCAGACUGGGGCGACGCUUCAUCUUCCAGCAGGACAAUAACCCAAAGCACACCGACAAAAUAUCAAUGUAGUGGCUUCACAACAACUCUGUGAAUGUCCUUGAGUGGCCCAGCCAGAGCCCAGACCUAAAUCCUAUAGAACAUCUCUGGAGAGAUCUGAAAAUGGCUGUACACCGUCACUUCCCAUCCAACCUGAUAGAGCUUGAGAGGAUUGCCAAAAAGACUGCCAAAUGUGCAUCAACAAAGUAUUGAUCAAAGGCUGUGAAUACUUAUGUACAUGUGAUUUUUCAGGUUUUUAUUUUUAAUAAAUUUGCAACAAUUUCAAAAAAUCUUUUUUUCACAUUGUCAUUAUGGGAUAUUGUGUGUAGAAUUUUGAGGAAAUAAAUUAAUUUAAUCCAGUUUGGAAUAAGGCUGGAACAUAAACAAAUGUGGAAAAUGUGAAGCGCUGUGAAUACUUUCUGUAUGCACUGUAUAUUUUAACAAUGUCUCUGUAAUUAUUUUUUUCUGUAAUAAUUUUUCUCUCCUUCCUUUAUACAUGUCAAUCUGUUUUGUUUUGUAUUCCAUUAGACUGGCUGAGAUUCUUUUGAUUGUUCUGCGUAAUUCUUGUAUUGUUUGCUAGUGUUUUGGUGCAUGCUCUUGUUGGUAUCAGGUAAUAACACUGAGAUAAUUUUGUUAACAUGUAUGGAUGAUGUACAUUAUUGGGUGUUAUGUUUUCAUAAAUAGAUCUAUAAAUGAAGUAAUUUAAAAAAAAUAAAAUCACUCCUAGAACUUU